GGGCCGCCUCCCUCUCACCUGCGAGGCCACCGCCGCCUCCUCCUCCUCGUCCUCCUCCACCCGCGGCCCGGCUCGGAGAGGCGCGGAACGGCCUCAGCUCCGGCACCGUCCGGACGCCAUUUUGUCUCCAGCCUCGGAAGUGACGUUGGGGGGAGGCCAGCGGGCAGUGCCCCCGCCGCGGGACCCCCUCCGGAGCGGGGCCGCCCCCGCUGCCCCCCGGAGCCCCGCUUCGCCCCCAUGUUUACCCUGGAGCGCCUCGGCUCGUCCCACCGGCCGGAGCCGUCCUCCGCACCGCGGCCUCCAGCCUCCGCCCUCAGCCGCAGACAAUGAGCUGUGGAGGAGAGCAGAUAAAGAAAGAACUACUGAGAAGCUGAAGCUCUAAACUGAGUGGAAACGAGGGGGACAGAAGAAAUAUGAAGAAAUGAAGAAGCGUGGAAAGAAUGUGAGAAGAAAAAGAAUUUCUUUCAGGUGUCUCCAAAAACAACAAAGAUGCUUUUGAAGAUGACAGACGUUGGGGGAUCUCCUCUUUCCCAGCAGCCUGAACGAACCCAGAUGCGUGGACAAAGGCGGCUCGGAGCCCUUACCUGAGCUCAGUCCUGGGAGUAGGAGCGCUCAGAAUGGGCGGUUUCCAUCUCUGCAGUGAGAAACCAAUGGGUAAAAAUGGCACAUCUAAAAGGGUUCCCUCUUGUUAAGAGCUGGUAUUCAGGAUCUUCUUCCCGAGCUGCUGUGAUGCAGGAGCUCCCUGCGUUCUUCUGACUCCGUUUGGUUGCGAGCCUUUUCCCAUGCAGUGUUUUGACGCUGCCAAAUCAAGUCCCCGGUGUUUUUGGACUUUUUCUGGAAAUGUGUUUUUGAGUAAUAUAUCAGGUUGUCUUUAUUUGCCUUCUGGGCUUUGAGCCUUUGGACAGCUAAAAUGUCCAGACUUCAUAAAGGCAAGGAAUAGUUUCUUCAGAACUGCAGUUCUCAUUUGUAGCUGCGGCUCCUGCAAAAUCUGUGGCACGUUCAGUAUCCUGAGAACUUUACUAGGGGCCACAGCAUUGGCAUGCACUGUGGGUUGGUUUUUUCUUAAUUGAUUCUGGAAAUUGGAGUUAUACACCGUGCUGUGAUGGAGAAUGUCCUGCGGGAUGUCUGAGUGCCUCCACUGAGCUGUUCAGGAGAAAGCACACCCCAUCUGACUGAGUGCUGCUUCCUUCUACAAAGCCUGACGGGCUUUGCUUUGUGUAAUGAAGGAAGCUGGAGGACAAGACUGCGGUGAAAGUAUCUGCCAGUUGGAAACACAGCUGUGAGCACAAGGAAGGACUUAGUUCAGCCUUACUCCGAGCACGACUGUCUUUGUCCAUCUAUUCUGUGCAGCUCAUGACAACGUUUUGCUGAAUUUUCAGAAACAUUUCCUCUGGUCACCACGCCCUGCUGCAGAUGGUUUCUAUUGCUGGGACUGCUUUAAGCCAGAGGAACAAAGCCAGGCUUUAAAUCUAAAAGAAACACUCGGCUCUUUCUAAAAUAAGUCCCAUCUUCUGAGUGCUACAAUAUUAUAUUGUACAGUGUUCAUACAUAGAUACCCACAGGAAAGCAAAACAAAUAUAUAUAUAUAUAUUUUAACUGGGGCAGACAUAAGGAAAAGACAGCUGCUCUUCAAGUGCUCUCGGUAUGUAUGUGACCCAUAAUCAAAGCUAUGAAACAAAGCCACAGGAGGAAAAGGUGGUCACUUACAAAGCUUUUUCUGUGAUGCAUGACGAAAUUGGCCACAAAGCUGUGGUUAGGGAGACCCUAUCUAACUCCAUCGUGGGGUAUUUCUUUCUAAAAGAUCUUUGUAGAACUGAGUCUUGUAAGGCUUGUGACUUUAGGAAGGGUGCUGUCAGUCUGUCUGUCUGCUGUGUACACUGACCUCAGAGUUGCUACACCAGGAACCUGCCUAAACCACUUAAUGAUGAUUUUUGCUGCCCCAUAACCAGAAGGUUGCCCUCCCGCAGUCUUAUGGCAAUUUUCUGGUUUCUGAGCAGGAAGGGUUUGGCUGGGGCAACAAGACUGGAGGUACGAGCAAGUUUCUUUGGGAUCAUUCUGCAAGUGACACCUAAAACUGCAGUACUGCAAUACCUCUUAUCAGAGCAUGGCUGGAAGGGAGCAAGUGUUGGAGCUGAGGCUCUCCUGUUUAGUGGGGGGGUUGGACUUGGUGAUCUCCAGUGGUCCCUUCCAACCCCUAUGGCUCUGUGGUUCUGUGAAGUGGCCUCAGGAGAGGAGGAAAGCACAGAAUGUUAUGCACUGGAUGAGCAAAUGCUACAGGAUGUACAGGCAGAAAGCACACAGUCUGUGUGCAAAUACAGGGGUCUGAAUACAGACGAAAGGAAUUAAGAUAUGACCUCAGAUACUGUAAUAAAAGAAUCCUCCCCUGAAUCACUUCCUUCCAAAAACCAUCCCCUUGUGUCUGCCAGCUCAAAGAAGCUACUUCCUGCAGUGGUUCAUCACAGCCUUCAUUAAGGUGACUAACCCCUCAUAUCUGUCAGCGGAACUGUUGGCGUGAUCAUUUCCAAACUCAUUUCUUGGAGAUGCGCACAGAGCUGGACGCUGCUUGGGCUUUCAUUUUGUUCACAGUGGUUCUUGGCUGCUUGCUGCGUAUUACCACACAGCAAGCAGGAUCCAUUCAAAUAUGUUUAGUCUGACAUCCAUGCUAGCUGAUAACACACCAGAUAAUAUUUGGAUGGGUUUCACAGUCAAAGAAAUGUUACUAUACGCAUUUAGAAAGACGUGUCCCCUGUGGACUUGUAGCAGCAGUUUGUGUGCUGUGCUCAAGUCCUGAGAGAGGAGGAGAGCAGAGGAAGUCCUGCCUGAGGAACUGUGAUACAACUGAUGCUGGACGCUGUGGUGUUUGUAAGCAACAAGUACAAAGAUGCACAGACAUGAAGCAGUGGGAAAGCAACAUGAGAGCGUACACAGCAUCACAGUUGGUUUCCUUCGAGUCCUUGGCAGGGCCUCUGAGAUAGUGGGUUGGAAACAAACAUUUUUCUCAGUUUCCUUCAGAACUUCCCAGCAUCCCUGUAUUCCCACUCCUAUGUUUUGUUAUGAAAUAGCACGGAGCAAGCUGCGUGCCACGCAGCAGAGUGAACUUUGCUGCUGCAUGAGUGCAAACUGAGGAUAUUGAGGGUGUGGUGUGUGCCCUUCCAGAGCCUGCCUGUCUGCAGCCUGGAAGCGGGACGCAGGGAGCGCUGGGACCUGGCAGCCUUUGGCUUCCAUCCUGUGGUCCCCGACCACAUCCAGACAAAAAACAAACAAACCAACAAAACAAACGUGCAACUGAGGAUGGCUGUACGUUGGGGCUGGGCAAACCGUAGUUAGUUUUGUGGUGUUGCAUGUAUGGUUUGCCUCAAAUGACACACGGAGGAAACACUGCAUGCUUCUGUCAGAGACCAGCAGCAUGGACAUGGUGGGCUAACCUUGCUUUACUAUUUUUUUUUUGGUUCUUAAUGUUCUUCUAUCUCUCUUGCUUGUCAGCUGCUUAUUUUUUGUGGAUUUAGAAAUACAGGAUCUGAGGCAAAUGCAUGGGUUCCGUGGAAACUUGAAUUAUGGGCGCUGAGAAUCCAGCCUCUGUUUGCAGUUUUACUGUGCCACCUGAGUCAAUGAAAGGCUCGCUUGUGUGCUUGUAAAUAUGACAGUUUCCUUUCUGUAUAAAACUACACAGAUUCAAAAACUUACUCCUACCUUUUGAGACAUGGCUGGGCAGGCGUCCCAGUGAAGAGGAGAAUGCAAAUGCUGUGUUCUCUGCUGGUCUUUUUAGCAGGAUGCAGCAAAACACACUCGCUGCUUGGUAGUCCCACUGUCUAGCAUAAAUCUGUUUAAUGCUGGGGUUUGUGUGAGGAGGCAUUACCUAGCAUUUGCCUCUUGUUAAGACUGAGUGCACACGUACAGUUGGUAUAGCUCAAGUGACACGUGGGAACUUGUUAGCAAUCACGUCAAUUUUUGCUCAUGUUAUGUGACAGGCAGUAGAGCAAUCCACUCGCCCACGGAGAUACCUGCACCACAGGAAAGGUUUCAGGCUGGGAGAUGCGUUGCCUCUAAAGCCUUCAUUCAAACACUCGUGCUUUUCAUUGUGUGACGAAUGCUCUGCCCAGCAGGAUGUUGGGCUAACUUCGUUUUGGUUGGACUGAUCCCGUUAAGCUUUGCCUGAGGUUUUCAUAUGCCGAGUAGGAUCACAGAAGGACAAAUGGAUCUGCUCAUCGUUCAGCAGGAAAUGGUUUAGUCUGAAAAUGCAUUAGGUUGCACAGAGUGCUCGGGGCUGUCCUUGGGUGGUAAGUAUGACAAAAGACUUGCCUGUUUCAGACAGGAUUUAAACCAUGAAUGGAUUACACAAAGCCUACACAAAUGUGUCUGUAAGCAGACAGUGAUGUUACUAGGUUUUCUUUCUGAAUUUUUCCUAAUUACUAUGAAGCUCACUUAUGAAUAAGGAAAUUAAUAACUUAGUUUUCUUCUUUUCCACAUCGGUAUUGUAUUUCAUCCUUUCAAAGCUUUGUACUGCUUUGUGACCUGGUUAAAGGAGCUCUCUCCUCUCUAUUGGAUACCAAGCUGCUGACUUCAAGUCCAAAAAUUCCUCAUAAGAUUUCCUGGGUCGUUGCUACUUUUAACAGAAAUCAUCAUUCAUUCUUAAGUUACUGAUGUUAGACGUAACUCACUGUGCUUUAUCUGAGCAAAGAAAGAACGCUUAAGUGCUUCCAACAUUUCCCAGAUUCCUGUUUUUCACUAAGAUGUUGGUCACAGGUUGGCUGAUGAUCCAGUUACUGGGUCUGAUAACUGCUGUCUUUUAGUCGUGUUUCUGGCUCAGGGCUCUCCUGAAAUCGUUCCUUUCUCUCUGGCUUUUGUAAUGUUGCAGCAACUCAGAGAGGAGGGAUACUAAUGAAACUGCUCAAGCUGUGCAUCGCUACCUGGGUGGGGAGAAGGACUAUCCUCAGAAAUAUCAUCAGUGAUGGAAUUUAUUUGGCAUUUUCAGGAGGAGCUUGGAACAAGCAAUAAUCCUUUUGGAAGUUUACUCUCUGAUCACAACAAACACGCUUUUUUGAUCUGAGUCUUAAUCUAGAUACUGGAAUGCCUAAAUACAAGGGUAGCUGCGCACGUGUUUAUGGCCUGGUCAGCUUUAGGAGGCAUCAGAAUCUGAUGAGGAAAUUUCUCUUAAACCCUCAGGGCAAACUGCCUGCCUCAGUGAUUCAGGUGUCUGAAUGUACCCACUCCACCUAGUACUACUGCAAGCCAAAAAAAAUUUUCCAUCCUCACUGCUCAAUGCAGUCAGAUUGCCAAUGGUGACGCGUCCAUUCUAGGUUUGUUCUAACUCAGAAUUGUGAUUGCUAUCAGCAAACAGCAGUGAGACAUCUGGUAAAUAUUUGAGCCUUGCUUAUAUUAUAUCUGGAGCCUGCUUUUGAGUGUUAUCCUGAAUGACAGCCCCACUUGAAAAGUCAUAAAACCUGGACAGACCUCCAGCCUUAGGAACUCCAAAACCACGUUCUAGAUCCAUCUACGGAGCUCAGUGCAAAUUGCACUGGUAAUAAAACUGGAUAAAAACAGAAUCUUCCAUACAGGGAAGUUGAGAGAAAAUGUACUUACAAAUUCCCCAAAGGCAUAAAGAUGAAAGAGCAUUUUUUCCUGCAGCUCUGGUGUACAAGAAUCUGCCUAAGUUAGUUCUAUAAAACGAUGGUGCCUUCUUGUCUCAGCUUUAGUGGCUUUGGUGCAUCUAAUCCUGGUGCUUUGGGAAGAUAAGCCAGCUGGGACCCAGUGAUUUGGGCCACAAGUGCUUAGAAUAGAGAAAGCCCAGAAAAUAAUAUCUAGGAAUUUACCUAAUAUAGAUUGGUUUUAGAUUUUCCGUGCAGUUUUGAAGUGUAACUCCGAACUAUGAGCCUUAUACCCUCACAUACAGAACAUCAGGAAUUCCAGUUAAGUCAGAAGCCAACACUGAGGCAUACUGCGUGCUGCUGCAGCUGUUGCUUCCAGCGGAAUGAUGUGGAUUGUCACCAGGCUAAAAUCAGGCCACGUGUCUCAGGUAGGGUCCCAAAAUCCAAGUGAGACAAGGGGCUGGAGUGAGACGAUCUUUGGGGUCCCUUCCAACCCAAGCCAUUCUAUGAUCCUAAGUAGACUGUUGCUUAGGAAAACUAGUGGGCUGAGCUUUGGGUUGCUGUUUUCAGAGAACUGUUGCUUGCAACACAGAGUGCCCGCGUUCUGCAGCAGCGGUUGCUGGAUUUCACCCCUGCGGGCACUGCUGCCAUCUCUGUGCAUGUGCUGGGCACGUUGCCUCAUGGCCAGCUCAUUCAGAUCAGUCACAUACUACGCAGAAUAAAUCUGAAUGUGAUGUUCCCGGAAUAAAGUUCCGUUCAGGCCAAUCCUGAUUACCAUAAAUCACUCCCAUUUAUCUCUAGAAAGACUUCCAGUCUGUCUUUCUUGUCAAAUUCAAAAGAAAUAGUUCACCAGGCAAACUUUUCCGGAGGAGGUCCGUAAGAUUUUUCAAACCUGUCUUAGGUAAUAAUUCUUGCUCUUUAAUUUCCCUCACGUGCAUACAUUGCUUACGGCCAAGUGAGCAUCAGCCUCCGAGAACAGAAGUUAAGCUCUUGCAUGGAAAGAUUCCUUUGCUCAGAUGCACAGAAAGUCCUUUCUAACAGCGCACAACCCAUCUGAAAACUUCUGCUGGCUCUUUCCUGAUGCAGCCGUAGCAGCUGCUUAGUGGUAGCUUUAAGGAAGAGCUUCAUAAACAGGACAGAGAAACAAUAUCAUCUGAGCAAACACACAAACUGCUGGAUUAAAAGAGAUCACUGCAAAUACUUUGAAA